rnacentral:rRNA from 1 species
AGAGUUUGAUCAUGGCUCAGAGCGAACGCUGGCGGCAGGCCUAACACAUGCAAGUCGAGCGCCGUAGCAAUACGGAGCGGCAGACGGGAGAGUAACACGUGGGAACGUGCCCUUCAGUUCGGAACAACCCAGGGAAACUUGGGCUAAUACCGGAUACGUCCGUAAGGAGAAAGAUUUAUCGCUGAAGGAUCGGCCCGCGUCUGAUUAGCUUGUUGGUGAGGUAACGGCUCACCAAGGCGACGAUCAGUAGCUGGUCUGAGAGGAUGAUCAGCCUCACUGGGACUGAGACACGGCCCAGACUCCUACGGGAGGCAGCAGUGGGGAAUAUUGGACAAUGGGCGCAAGCCUGAUCCAGCCAUGCCGCGUGGAUGAUGAAGGCCCUAGGGUUGUAAAGUCCUUUCGGCGGGGAAGAUAAUGACGGUACCCGCAGAAGAAGCCCCGGCUAACAUCGUGCCAGCAGCCGCGGUA